UACGUAGGGUGCGAGCGUUGUCCGGAAUUAUUGGGCGUAAAGGGCUCGUAGGCGGUUUGUCGCGUCGGGAGUGAAAACCCAGGGCUUAACCCUGGGCUGGCUUCCGAUACGGGCAGACUAGAGGUAUGCAGGGGAGAACGGAAUUCCUGGUGUAGCGGUGAAAUGCGCAGAUAUCAGGAGGAACACCGAUGGCGAAGGCAGAUCUCUGGGCCAUUACUGACGCUGAGGAGCGAAAGCGUGGUGAGCGAACAGG
rnacentral:rRNA from 1 species